rnacentral:rRNA from 1 species
ACGGAAGGCAGCAGUGGGGAAUAUUGGACAAUGGGGGAAACCCUGAUCCAGCGACGCCGCGUGAGUGGAGAAGUAUUUCGGUAUGUAAAGCUCUAUCAGCAAGGAAGAAAAUGACGGUACUUGACUAAGAAGCUCCGGCUAAAUACGUGCCAGCAGCCGCGGUAAUACGUAUGGAGCAAGCGUUAUCCGGAUUUACUGGGUGUAAAGGGAGCGUAGACGGCAAAGCAAGUCUGAAGUGAAAGCCCGUGGCUUAACUGCGGAACUGCUUUGGAAACUGUAUUGCUAGAGUGUCGGAGAGGUGAGUGGAAUUCCUAGUGUAGCGGUGAAAUGCGUAGAUAUUAGGAGGAACACCAGUGGCGAAGGCGGCUUACUGGACGAUUACUGACGCUGAGGCUCGAAAGCGUGGGGAGCAAACAGGAUUAGAUACCCUGGUA